rnacentral:rRNA from 1 species
GACGAACCGUGCGAACGUUGUUCGGAAUCACUGGGCUUAAAGGGCGCGUAGGCGGGCUGUCAAGUCCGGGGUGAAAUCUUUCGGCUCAACCGGGAAAGUGCCUUGGAUACUGAUGGUCUGGAGGGAGGUAGGGGUAUGUGGAACUUCCGGUGGAGCGGUGAAAUGCGUUGAUAUCGGAAGGAACGCCGGUGGCGAAAGCG